CGUGUAGGCGGCUGGAUAAGUCAGAUGUGAAAGCCCUGGGCUUAACCUAGGAAGUGCAUUUGAAACUGUUCAGCUUGAGUAGGGGAGAGGAAAAUGGAAUUCCUGGUGUAGAGGUGAAAUUCGUAGAUAUCAGGAGGAACACCGGUGGCGAAGGCGACUUUCUGGCCCUAUACUGACGCUGAGACGCGAGAGCGUGGGUAGCAAACAG
rnacentral:rRNA from 1 species